UGGGAGGUCGUCUAACGGUAGGACAUACGCCUCUGGAGCGUAGAAUCCUGGUUCGAAUCCAAGCCUCCCAG
rnacentral:tRNA from 3 species